rnacentral:rRNA from 1 species
UACGAAGGGGGCUAGCGUUGCUCGGAAUCACUGGGCGUAAAGCGCACGUAGGCGGCUUGUUAAGUCAGGGGUGAAAUCCUGGAGCUCAACUCCAGAACUGCCUUUGAUACUGGCGAUCUUGAGUCCGGGAGAGGUGAGUGGAACUCCGAGUGUAGAGGUGAAAUUCGUAGAUAUUCGGAAGAACACCAGUGGCGAAGGCGGCUCACUGGCCCGGUACUGACGCUGAGGUGCGAAAGCGUGGGGAGCAAACAGG